AUUGAACGCUGGCGGCAGGCCUAACACAUGCAAGUCGAGCGGAUCGGCGGACGGGUGAGUAAUGCCUAGGACUCUGCCAGGUAGUGGGGGAUACGCUCCGGAAACGGGCGCUGAUACCACAUACUAUCAGAUGAGCCUAUGUCGGAUUAGCUAGUUGGUGGGGUAAAGGCCUACCAAGGCGACGAUCCGUAACUGGUCUGAGAGGAUGAUCCGUCACACUGUAACUGAGACACGGUCCAGAUGCCGACGGGAGGCAGCAGUGGGGAAUAUUGGACAAUGGGCGAAAGCCUGAUCCAGCCAUGCCGCGUGGGUGAAGAAGGUCUUCGGAUUGUAAAGCACUUUAAGUUGGGAGGCGUUACCAACAGAAUAAGCACCGGCUAACUGCGUGCCAGCAGCCGCGGUAAUAC
rnacentral:rRNA from 1 species